rnacentral:rRNA from 1 species
CCUACGGGAGGCAGCAGUCGAGAAUCAUUCACAAUGGGGGAAACCCUGAUGGUGCGACGCCGCGUGGGGGAAUGAAGGUCUUCGGAUUGUAAACCCCUGUCAUGUGGGAGCAAAUUAAAAAGAUAGUACCACAAGAGGAAGAGACGGCUAACUCUGUGCCAGCAGCCGCGGUAAUACAGCGGUCUCAAGCGUUGUUCGGAAUCACUUGGCGUAAAGCGUGCGUAGGCUGUUUCGUAAGUCGUGUGUGAAAGGUGCGGGCUCAACCCGCGGACGGCACAUGAUACUGCGAGACUAGAGUAAUGGAGGGGGAACCGGAAUUCUCGGUGUAGCAGUGAAAUGCGUAGAUAUCGAGAGGAACACUCGUGGCGAAGGCGGGUUCCUGGACAUUAACUGACGCUGAGGCACGAAGGCCAGGGGAGCGAAAGGGAUUAGAUACCCUUGUAGUC